UACGGAGGAUGCAAGCGUUAUCCGGAAUGAUUGGGCGUAAAGCGUCCGCAGGUGGCAAUGUAAGUCUGCUGUUAAAGAGUCUAGCUCAACUAGAUAAAAGCAGUGGAAACUACAUAGCUAGAGUACGUUCGGGGCAGAGGGAAUUCCUGGUGUAGCGGUGAAAUGCGUAGAGAUCAGGAAGAACACCGGUGGCGAAGGCGCUCUGCUAGGCCGUAACUGACACUGAGGGACGAAAGCUAGGGGAGCAAAUGGG
rnacentral:rRNA from 1 species